rnacentral:rRNA from 1 species
AGUCUAAAGUUUUUAUUUUAGGUGACACCUGCCCAGUGCUAUAAUGGUAAACGGCCGCAGUACCCUGACUGUGCUAAGGUAGCGUAAUCAUUUGGCUUUUAAAUGGAGUCGUGUAUGAACGGAUAAAUAAGGGCAAGCUGUCUCUUUCUGAAUUUAUUGAAUUUAUUUACAAGGUGAAAAUACCUUGAUUAUUAGAAAAAGGACGAUAAGACCCUUGGAGUUUUUACUAUUAAGUUGUAUCAACUCAAUGUUUUUGCUGGGGCGGCAUAGAGACAAAAAUAAACUCUCUUUACAUAUUUGCCGAUAAUUUUAAGUAAAGUUAAACUACCCGAGGGAUAACAGCAUAAUUCUUUAUAGAGUUUGUGACCUCGAUGUUGGAUUAGGAAUUUCUUUGGCUAGACGCCAAUAGUUAUUGUUCUGUUCGAACUGUUUUUCC